UACGAAGGGUGCAAGCGUUACUCGGAAUUACUGGGCGUAAAGCGUGCGUAGGUGGUUUGUUAAGUCUGAUGUGAAAGCCCUGGGCUCAACCUGGGAAUUGCAUUGGAUACUGGCAGGCUAGAGUGCGGUAGAGGGUAGUGGAAUUCCCGGUGUAGCAGUGAAAUGCGUAGAGAUCGGGAGGAACACCAGUGGCGAAGGCGACUACCUGGACCAGCACUGACACUGAGGC
rnacentral:rRNA from 1 species